rnacentral:tRNA from 1 species
UGGCUCAGCGGUAGAGCGCUUGCCUUGCAUGCAUGAGGCCUUGGGUUCGAUUCCUCA